GAGCACUCUGAUCCAGCCAUGCCGCGUGCAGGAAGACUGCCCUAUGGGUUGUAAACUGCUUUUAUAGAGGAAGAAACCUCUCUACGUGUAGGGAGCUGACGGUACUCUACGAAUAAGGAUCGGCUAACUCCGUGCCAGCAGCCGCGGUAAUACGGAGGAUCCAAGCGUUAUCCGGAAUCAUUGGGUUUAAAGGGUCCGUAGGCGGGCAGUUAAGUCAGUGGUGAAAGUCUUCCGCUCAACGGGAGAAUUGCCAUUGAUACUGAUUGUCUUGAGUCAUUAUGAAGUGGUUAGAAUGAGUAGUGUAGCGGUGAAAUGCAUAGAUAUUACUCAGAAUACCGAUUGCGAAGGCAGAUCACUAAUAAUGUACUGACGCUGAUGGACGAAAGCGUAGGUAGCGAACAGGAUUAGAUACCCUGGUAGUCUACGCCGUAAACGAUGGUUACUAGCUGUUUGGACGAUUGAGUCUGAGUGGCUAAGCGAAAGUGAUAAGUAACCCACCUGGGGAGUACGUUCGCAAGAAUGAAACUCAAAUG
rnacentral:rRNA from 1 species